rnacentral:rRNA from 1 species
CGGACGGGUGAGUAACGCGUGAGAAUCUGCCUUCAGGUCUGGGACAACCACUGGAAACGGUGGCUAAUACCGGAUGUGCCGCAAGGUGAAAGGUUAACUGCCUGAAGAUGAGCUCGCGUCUGAUUAGCUAGUUGGCAGUGUAAGAGACUACCAAGGCGACGAUCAGUAGCUGGUCUGAGAGGACGAUCAGCCACACUGGGACUGAGACACGGCCCAGACUCCUACGGGAGGCAGCAGUGGGGAAUUUUCCGCAAUGGGCGAAAGCCUGACGGAGCAAUACCGCGUGAGGGAGGAAGGCUCUUGGGUCGUAAACCUCUUUUCUCAGGGAAGAACACAAUGACGGUACCUGAGGAAUAAGCAUCGGCUAACUCCGUGCCAGCAGCCGCGGUAAUACGGAGGAUGCAAGCGUUAUCCGGAAUGAUUGGGCGUAAAGCGUCCGCAGGUGGCGAUGUAAGUCUGCUGUUAAAGCGUCUAGCUCAACUAGAUAAGAGCAGUGGAAACUACAUAGCUAGAGUACGUUCGGGGCAGAGGGAAUUCCUGGUGUAGCGGUGAAAUGCGUAGAGAUCAGGAAGAACACCGGUGGCGAAGGCGCUCUGCUAGGCCGUAACUGACACUGAGGGACGAAAGCUAGGGGAGCGAAUGGGAUUAGAUACCCCAGUAGUC